rnacentral:lncRNA from 1 species
UUUGGUGGCUUUUGAGUGAAAUCCAAUCUCUACAACUAUGCAAUACACCAACCACUCCAUUUCAUGACGAACUUCGUACGAACCUGAAUUGUCCAAUUUCAUGGACCAAUCAAUAUCGGAUUGAGUCCAAAACUUGGGGAACAUCAUAAUACAGUGGGAGGAGUCAUUUGGUGGGUUUUGAGUGAAAUCCAAUGUCUACAACUAUGCAAUACAGCGACCACUCCAUUUCAUAAGAACUUCGUACGAACCUGAAUUGUCCAAUUU